AGAGUUUGAUCCUGGCUCAGAGCGAACGCUGGCGGCAGGCCUAAUACAUGCAAGUCGAACGGACCCUUCGGGGUUAGUGGCGGACGGGUGAGUAACACGUGGGAACGUACCCUUUGGUUCGGAACAACUCAGGGGAAACUUGGAGCUAAUACCGAAUGUGCCCUUCGGGGGAAAGAUUUAUCGCCAUUGGAGCGGCCCGCGUCUGAUUAGCUAGUUGGUGAGGUAAAGGCUCACCAAGGCUACGGAUCAGUAGCUGGUCUGAGGAGGAUGAUCAGCCACACUGGGACUGAGGACACGGCCCAGACUCCUACGGGAGGCAGCAGUGGGGAAUCUUGCACAAUGGGGGAAACCCUGAUGCAGCGACGCCGCGUGAGCGAUGAAGCCCUUCGGGGUGUAAAGCUCUUUCGGCAGGGAAGAUGUGACGGUACCUGCAGAAG
rnacentral:rRNA from 1 species